rnacentral:rRNA from 1 species
CGCGCAGGCGGGCUUGUAAGUCAGUGGUGAAAUACUGCCGCUUAACGGUAGAACUGCCAUUGAUACUGCAAGUCUUGAAUAUGGUUGAGGUAGGCGGAAUGUGUCGUGUAGCGGUGAAAUGCAUAGAUAUGACACAGAACGCCGAUUGCGAAGGCAGCUUACUAAGCCAUUAUUGACGCUGAGGCACGAAAGCGUGGGGAGCGAACAGGAUUAGAUACCCUGGUAGUCC